rnacentral:rRNA from 1 species
UACAGAGACUGCAAGCGUUUAUUCGGAUUCACUGGGCGUAAAGGGUGCGCAGGCGGCCAAGUGUGUGAGGCGUGAAAGCCCGGGGCUUAACCCCGGAAUUGCACCUCAAACUACAUGGCUAGAGCAUUGGAGAGGGUAGCGGAAUUCACGGUGUAGCAGUGAAAUGCGUAGAGAUGUGGAGGAACACCGAUGGCGAAGGCAGCCCCCCUGGGUCAAGAUUGACGCUCAUGCACGAAAGCGUGGGGGAGCAAACAGG